rnacentral:rRNA from 1 species
CCUGAAAGGGCGGGGUGCCCGCAAGGGAACGUGGAGACAGGUGGUGCAUGGCUGUCGUCAGCUCGUGUCGUGAGAUGUUGGGUUAAGUCCCGCAACGAGCGCAACCCUCACCCCUAGUUGCCACCGGGUAAAGCCGAGCACUCGAGGGGAACUGCCAGCGUCAAGCUGGAGGAAGGCGGGGAUGACGUCAAGUCAUCAUGCCCCUUACGCCCUGGGCUACACACGUGCUACAAUGGCCGGUACAAAGGGACGCGAGACCGCGAGGUGGAGCCAAUCCCAAAAAACUGGUCUAAGUUCAGAUUGCAGUCUGCAACUCGACUGCAUGAAGGAGGAAUCGCUAGUAAUCGCGCAUCAGCACGGCGCGGUGRAUACGUUCCCGGGCCUUGUACACACCGCCCGUCACACCACGAAAGCUGU